rnacentral:rRNA from 1 species
UACGUAGGGUGCAAGCGUUGUCCGGAAUUAUUGGGCGUAAAGAGCUCGUAGGCGGUUUGUCGCGUCUGCUGUGAAAACUCGGGGCUUAACCCCGGGCCUGCAGUGGGUACGGGCAGACUAGAGGUAGGUAGGGGAGAAUGGAAUUCCCGGUGUAGCGGUGAAAUGCGCAGAUAUCGGGAGGAACACCGGUGGCGAAGGCGGUUCUCUGGGCCUUACCUGACGCUGAGGAGCGAAAGCGUGGGGAGCGAUCCGG